rnacentral:lncRNA from 1 species
GUGUUCCCAAAGGUCCCUGCAUCUGUUUCGUAAUUUUUUUUUUAUACUGGUGAUUCUUAGAAUUUUAGAGCAGAACACAAAGUUGAUAUAUCCAAAGCUUUUAUUUUAUAAAUGAAGGGACUGAGAUAAACAAAACUUUGGAGACCAUUUACUUAAUCAGCAACAGAGCAAAAGCUGUUCAGAUUCUCUGGUUGUUGGCCCAGCCUCUUCUUGGCAUUCCUCCAAUAGAAGUCACUGUUUUUAACCAAAAAUCACAUCAAGAGGAAGUAGGAGAGAAAGGUCCACACUAGGAGGUAGAAAUGGAGUUCAGUUUUCUUUCACCAGUUUUCUCUGUGAUCUUGGACAAAAAGACAUGGAUUCAAGUUCCAAACCUCUGAAGUAAUAUAAUAAACUUCCCUGUUAUGUUGAAGAAGUUUGGAGAUGAAUAGAACCGUGUUUGUUAAAAUCCUUCCACAUUUAUAAAUGCCUAUACCAACAUAAGAAACUCUUAUCUUCAGAAACACUCUUUUCGAUUUCCGAAUGUAUGAUAAAUUAGCAACACACUCAAACUCCUCACCUUCUUGUUUAACGCAUAGUGAUUACUUGUUACCCUUUGCAGACCUCUCCCAAUGUACUUCCAGGAUAUUUUAGAGCUGGAAACUAGAAAUGUGGUUGAUCAAUGCCAUCUCGAUGUUUAUUUCACAUUCGGACCUGGGCUUGAGUUAGGAGGAGGAGCUGAAGGGUCAGAACUAUUUGCCCUGCACUGUGCCUGCUUCAGCGUUUCCACAGGGCAUGACCAGAUAAGUUGGGAUUAAACAAGUAGAUUUUUUUUUCUUAAAGGAGAAAAGAGUCUUCCAUUUACUUUCACUGGGUUUAAAUGAAGAGUAGUAAGUCUUCCUAUGUAGAACAAGCCUAAUGUUCUUAUCAGUAAAUCUUCAAAGGAAUCUUCAGUAAAUCUUAUCAUGGGAUCUUUUAAGAUAGAAGGAACUCAAGUCAUCCCAACCAGUCUUUAACUUAAUGCAGAGAUACCCUCCUACAGCUUCCCUGGGAAUUCGUUCUACUCCCACAUAUGCUUAAAUCUGCACCAACAACUGGGAGCUCACUACCUAUGAA